rnacentral:rRNA from 1 species
GCAUAAGCGCACAGAGCUGCAUGGCUCGGUGUGAAAAACUCCGGUGGUAUGGGAUGGGCCCGCGUCUGAUUAGGCAGUUGGCGGGGUAACGGCCCACCAAACCGACGAUCAGUAGCCGGCCUGAGAGGGCGACCGGCCACAUUGGGACUGAGACACGGCCCAAACUCCUACGGGAGGCAGCAGUGGGGAAUAUUGCACAAUGGGGGAAACCCUGAUGCAGCGACGCCGCGUGAGCGAAGAAGUAUUUCGGUAUGUAAAGCUUUAUCAGCAGGGAAGAUAAUGACGGUACCUGACUAAGAAGCCCCGGCUAACUACGUGCCAGCAGCCGCGGUAAUACGUAGGGGGCAAGCGUUAUCCGGAUUUACUGGGUGUAAAGGGAGCGUAGACGGCAAGGCAAGUCUGAUGUGAAAACCCAGGGCUUAACCCUGGGACUGCAUUGGAAACUGUCUGGCUCGAGUGCCGGAGAGGUAAGCGGAAUUCCUAGUGUAGCGGUGAAAUGCGUAGAUAUUAGGAAGAACACCAGUGGCGAAGGCG